UACGUAGGGUGCAAGCGUUGUCCGGAAUUAUUGGGCGUAAAGAGCUCGUAGGCGGUUUGUUGCGUCGGCUGUGAAAUCCCGAGGCUCAACCUCGGGUCUGCAGUCGAUACGAGCAAACUAGAGUGUUGCAGGGGAGACUGGAAUUCCAGGUGUAGCGGUGAAAGUGCGUAGAUAUCUGGAGGAACACCGGUGGCGAAGGCGGCAUCCUGGACCAAUUCUGACGCUGAGGAGCGAAAAGCCAGGGGAGCAAACGGGG
rnacentral:rRNA from 1 species